rnacentral:lncRNA from 1 species
CAAAUUCAAAUUUCUAUUAUGCUUUAUUUUUCAUACAGUGAAAAAGAUAUUGCAAGAGAAGUUCAUCAUACAUGCUUAGUAGUUGCGGUUAGCCUACCAGAGGGUUAGCCGCAACUGCUAUGUUAAACGCUGCUCACAAGUCACUUCUUCAUUUUUCGUGCCAAAUAACAAAGGUAACUAAGUUUUGGCAUCCCUAACCUAUUACUAAAUUUACCCAACCCACUUUGGAGUUCAUUGAUUUGUCUCUCUAAUACAGUCAUUAGAUGGAAUUUUUCUAAUUGACAUAGUAACAUGAAAACGCAUAUUGUAUCAGUUGAACUUUUCAAAUGCAUUUCUUUGUGUUUGUAAAAAUUAUUUGUUGGUAGACUGAUUAUGGGAAAAGAAAAGUUAAAUAAGGCAACAUAUAAUGAACUAUAGCUCCCAUCAAAACAGUUCUGAAAUCCAAUAUUUGAUACAUUGAACUUGUGUUCGAGCAUAUAAAAACCAUUUUUACUCAUCAACAAAUUUGAUUCAAAUACUAGAUAAUAAUAACAUCUAAGGAUUUACUAAAUUCUGCAUAUGGUACCAUACUUCUGUGGAUUAACUGCGUUUUUAUAAAAUUUUACCUCUUAACAUUUGAUGCUUGCUUCAAAUCCUUUCUAUCUUUUGCAGAGUACAAAGUUUGAAUAUGCAUGAAUACAUUUUUUCGCACACAAAUUAUCUGAAAUUCUCAACGUCUUCACUUUCACAUUUCCUCUUCUAGCUAUAUUUCCCAUACAGCCGGAUGAAUCUAAUGUGUGAUUUGUUGUUCAUCAAUGGAGUGCCAUCAGAAUCAGUUGACAAUCUUUUGCCCUUAUACUCUGGCAUUCUUCAUCUCUUAAUCUUUGUCGUUUGAUGUCUGGAUGUAUAUUGGCAUUGUAAAGGUUGCACUUCCUCGGAUAAAAAUUCAGCCACUUUGGUCCAUUCACGCUCAUCAAUAAAGGAAAGUUAUUGACAAUUCGAAGAUUAUUGUUGGAUUACAUACUUUCCGAGAUUUUGUUACAAGAUGUUAUUAUAGCUCAUUGUGUUAAGUAUUGAUGACAAAUGCUCCUCUUUCUUGAUAACAAAUUUUCACCAUCUGUUAAAAAGU